GAUGAACGCUGGCGGCGUGCCUAAUACAUGCAAGUCGAGCGAACGGACGAGAAGCUUGCUUCUCUGAUGUUAGCGGCGGACGGGUGAGUAACACGUGGAUAACCUACCUAUAAGACUGGGAUAACUUCGGGAAACCGGAGCUAAUACCGGAUGAUAUUUUGAACCGCAUGGUUCAAAAGUGAAAGACGCUCUUUCUGUCACUUAUAGAUGGAUCCGCGCUGCAUUAGCUAGUUGGUAAGGUAACGGCUUACCAAGGCAACGAUGCAUAGCCGACCUGAGAGGGUGAUCGGCCACACUGGAACUGAGACACGGUCCAGACUCCUACGGGAGGCAGCAGUAGGGAAUCUUCCGCAAUGGGCGAAAGCCUGACGGAGCAACGCCGCGUGAGUGAUGAAGGUCUUCGGAUCGUAAAACUCUGUUAUUAGGGAAGAACAUAUGUGUAAGUAACUGUGCACAUCUUGACGGUACCUAAUCAGAAAGCCACGGCUAACUACGUG
rnacentral:rRNA from 1 species